GGAUGCCCAUGGUCUAACAGCCCAGGAUAGAGCAAUCAAUCUAUCACUAAAAUCUUAUUUGUUUAUUGACCAAAUAAAAGAGCAGGAUUGGAAAUUAUGUCCAUGCUGUUAGUGAUGAUUUGGGGUGGGGGGACUCUUAUUUUCCCUUAGUAAUUAAAGCAUUGGAUCCGGGAUAUUUCUACUUGGGUGAGCCAAAUCCAUGAGUAUUAUAAUGGAGCACAGGCCAUCAGUUAAUCAGGGUAUUGAAAAGGGAGGGUGGGAGAGCUCAUUUUGGACAGUUGAGUUGCUUGUGAGUUCAGAGGGCUUUCUUUUUUUAGAUACCUUUUUCCUUUUCCACUCUGUUUUUUGUUAGAUGAUCUCAUUUUAUGGGGACCAACAAGGAAAAAUGAGUACAAAGAGAUCAUCUGUGCUUAAAAAUUCACAUAUGGAAGGAUAAUUUCAGGUGAAAGUAUUAGACUAAAUAUGGCAACUAAAGAUGCAGUAGAAUGUAGCAAGCUUGACUUUUUAUACUUCAUUUCUUGCAAGCUCUGGGAUGUUUGGCAAGUCACUUAACUUUUCAACUCAUUAUCCGAUGUACUGGGUGGGGAUAAUAAUGCACGUCCUACCUGAAGACAAAGGAUUGAAAGAAGUGAUCACCUGCCCUCCCUUAGAUAUCUAGCACUUUAUAGCCCCUUGCUCUACUGUAUUUUUCUUCACAGCAUUUGUCACUACCUGAUCUUUACUAUAUGUAUGCUUGUCUUUUUAUCUUCUCUUUAUCCAAAUAGAAAGUAAUCUUCAUGAAAGCAGAGUUCUCUCUGUGUUAUUGCCAGUGCUAAGGCAGUGACUGGCACAUAACGUAUGAUCAAUAAAUAUUUGUUGGAAAGAUGAAUCUGAGUUCAAGGACCUAAGAUUAUCAAAAGGAGUCUGAUGAAGCAUGCUGGUUAAGCUCUCUUGUCAAGAUGCUAUGGUUCAGAUAUCUACUCUACCACUCUCUGGCUGUGUGGGUACCAGUCUCAGAGAAACAAACUGUUCGUGCAGACAUCAUGGGGACAGAUAGAAUUGUUCCAGAGUUGUCCAAUACCAGUGUAAAAGUGAAAUCCUAGUGACACAACAGGAAGAAGGGAACUCAGUACCGAAGUUCUCAAAAUGAACGCUGCCCCCUUAAAGAUGUCCAUGUUGCCAUCUCUUUUAACUUGGGUAAGUGAAUUAGCUGCCUAGGGCUUCCCUUUUAUCUUUUGAUGAUAGUUCCUGACUCUGAGUUGUUAUGUGAUGGAAAAAAUAAUUCAUGUAAAGUAAUCACAGGGUCUGAGCUCAUGGUCCGUUGUUGCUGGGAAUUUCUGGAUUCAUAGAGUGUGGGCUCAGCUUUUCCAAGCCAGAAUGAAAAAAUGAGAUGAUGUCACAAUAAAAAGGCUUAUGAUGACAAAGGUCUGUUAUUGCUGUCUCCUAAGCAUGCUACCUCCUGGUAAUCCUAGUUUUGAACCAUAGUUAUGUUUGCUGUGCUUGUCCUUUUGAGGAGGGAAGAGUUCGGGCUAGAUGGAGAUUCUUUUACAGGAUGAUCUCUUGCCACUCUAUCUUAUCUCAUGGUUCAAGUGACAGGACAGUGGUGAGCCAUACUGAAGUGGUUGAUGAAUUACUUUGGUACCCAUGGGCUAUGAGGAGCCUGGACCAGAUCACCAACUGGAUAACAAUGAAGGUGAUGGUGGUGGUGCUGGGGCCAUGGGCUAGCAAGGCAAGUCAGUGGUUCUGAACUUGUGUGGGACUUAGCAGGGUGGAGCUCUGCCUCUGCUCAAACCCAAACCUGUCCUCCUGCUGCCUAGAUCCACGAAACUGUGAUAGCAGGAGAUGAGGGAUGAGGAAUAUAAAAGGAAAGGAGCUAAUAUUUACUUAGAACCCCCUUAUUUAUUAGGCACGUUAACAGUUUUAAAAGUUAACUGAUCUGGUCUGUAAUAGCCCUUGGAAUAAGCAUUUUGUUUAUUUAAUAGUUAAAGACUUGAGGCUGAGGGAGAUUAAAUAACUCAUUCGAGGUCAACAGCAAGGAAGAGAUGGCCCAGAAGUUUGAAUUUAGACCUUUCUGGCUCUACAGACUGUCUUCCAAUACCGUAGUCCAGCCUCUAGAGGAAGUCCUCUAGGGCCCAGGUGGGCUCAGCACUUGGACCUGGGAAACCCAUGCAGAGGACUAGCGUCAAUUGGGGAACACGGAGCCCACUGCCUUCUUACCUGUUUCCAACUAGCUGAGCAUCCAGACUGGAUAUAGCCCAAGGUGGAAAUACAUAGACUGAUGGAGAAGCAGACUUUGGGCACCAGACUGGCCUUCCCUGCCCUAUCCCGGCUGCUUGCUCUCCAAGACUAUCCUGACGUUGGAGUUCUUCCUGUAUACGCCCAUAACCCAUUUGUGGAUAUACCUGUUUUGUGCCGGACACAUUGCUUUCUGCUUAUCUUCUCAGUUCUUCAGAAGUCUGUCAUAGGCAGUGUGCAGGCCUUUUGUCCUUGUAACCCUGAAGAUUGUUGGAGUACACUAAUGAUAGAUUUUUUUCUUCAUGUUUCAAUUGUCUCUGGUCAGUGGCAGUUGGGAUGCAGAUGAUCUUCCCUGUGAGAUGUGGUCAGAAGGUCAAUAUUGAUGGUCGGCUAUGUCACAACACCUACAUCAUUCGCUGCGCUGCGUCUCAUCACAUUGGCAUUUCGUCAUCUCACAUCAUCAGAAGAAGGGUCAUGAAAUCCAGAGCCACAAAUGUGAGUGGGUUCACACCAGGUUUCCAGUGACCAGGAAUGCACAGCGAGUUUCACAAUGAUAUGUCAUGCAGAAGAUUGAUACGUCUGAAGGGAGUUCUCUGUGCGUCUUGGAUUUCAGUGUCUGUUUCCUUCCCCACAUUGGGAAAGUUCUCAGCUCUGCUGGGGUAUCAUGGAACAUUGCACAGAUGUCCUCCUUUACCUUCCCCCCCCCCCCAAUCACUGGAGUACCCCCACCUCAGAGUUUCCGGAAACCCACACCUUACCUCCAUCAGCACAGGUCGGCAAACAUUUUUCAG